rnacentral:lncRNA from 1 species
CUUGGAGAAGCUUGCUGCAGCUGGUUUUCCUGAUGUGCACUCAGCUGUUCCCAUAAUCAGAGGAGCUCAGUCUUCGCCGUCACCGGGAAUGGCUGCUGGUCUUUGCCUUGAGCGUGUCUAGCUCCAGUGCAGACCCCUCAGCCUGGUGGCAUGGACCCUUCACCCUGCUGGAGCAGGCUUUCUAUUUUGUACCACUGGCCUUUCGGCCUUCCUGAUGCAGAUCCUUGAUACAGACUUGCAGGAGACAUUGCCGUGGGCUCUAGGGUUGUGGCUGGAUUCAUGGAGGACAUUGCUGUGGGAUCGCGGCCUCAGACAGAUCUCUUGCACUCCUCUGCAUUUGAUUUUUUUGGGAGAAUCGAAUGCCCCCACUUACAGCAGGCAGAGCUCAGGCAGAAAGGCAAGCAUGGGAGCAGCUGUAAAUACAGACUGUCUUCAACUACAGCAGAGAAGCCCUGUUGGAGACAGAGAAGGUGGGAUUUAUUUAUGGUGCUGAGGAUUGAACCUAGGCCCUUUGCACUGAGCAAUGUCCCUAGCCCUUUUUAAUUUUUUUUUGAGAUAAGGUCUUGCAAAAUUGCUAUUUUCCAGGCUGGGCUUGAACUUGUGACCUUCCCACUCAGCCUCCAGAGUGCGGGGAUCACAGACAUGCACCACCACACUCAGCCAGGUGGGUCAGUUAAAAAAAGGGUAGUCUGAGAGCUCCAAGUAGCCCUUCAUUCAUCUAGUUAACUAACAUUUAGAGCACCUACUAUGUCUAGGUACCAUGCCCUACCGGAAGGCUGAAAUGAAUAGAACAUGGGCUUUCUCUUGAAGAACUCUAUAGUCAAAGAAACCUCAAACUAAAUUCCACCAGACAUAACAGAUUUGAGCUGGGAGUGGUUAUACAACCCUGUAAUCCCAGUACUCAGGAGGCUGAGGCAGGAGAACUGCUGUGAGUUUGAAGCCAGCCUGGGCUACAUAGUGAGUUCAAGGCCAGCCUGAACUACAUAA